GUCUCACUUUUGAUUACUGGCCGAUAAUUAUAUGCCUGAACUUCAACAACUUAUUGAUCAGUUCAUCAUAAAGUUCGAAGGGAAUCUCUUGCAAAUCACGUGUCGAGUGUAGGAUAUAUCUGAACUUCAACAAUCUUUUCAACUAAAACUCAUGUUUUCUUGUGGUCUUGUAGUUAGUUAGAGGAGAAUAUCUGUUUCUAAAUUAAGUUACUAAGAAUUAAGAAAUUAAUACACUUGUUUCAUAGAAAAUUUGGAUUUAUAAUAUGAUUAAUUCAAGAAAUUAAAGAAAUUGAUUGGCAAAAAGGCUUUGGCUUCAAUUUCCCACCUUAAAAUCACAUCAAAUUGAUACGUCUGCGAUUUGAUUCUCAUGUGCCCUUGUUUUUCAAAAAGGUGAUUGGCUUUCUAGAGCAUGAACUCUCAAUUUCUAAAUCCAUGAUUUCAUCAACAAAUUAUAUUUAUUUUAUGUGCUGCUAUUUCGAUCCAGACGUAACAUCUUGCCUCCAAUGGACUGCCCCACUUCACCAACUAGUGAAUUUUGUUGGUGUUUGACAUUACAAAUUAGUUGUCCCAUUUCAUCGUGAUGAUGAAUUUGGAAAAAUCAUGGCUGAGAUCGACAGCAAUGGAGGCUCACUGAUGCAGUCAUGGCCAACAACCAUUUUAUACCUGAAGAGCAUGAUGGCAUAUAUAUCAACUCGUUGGUUAUGUGGGGUAGUCGGGGGAUCCCUCAACGCAGUUAGACUCUGCACCUUAUUAAUUAGUUAUCGCGGGGCAAUGUGGUAAUUGACUGGUGAACUAAUUUUUAUGCCAUGAACAGAUGUAGUUUGUGAAUUAUUUAAUAAAAAUAUAAAAUGUUAGUACCAUCUCAAUUUACCAUAAAAUAGUUUUUAAUCUCCACAGGACUGGAGUAGGUUUCCUAUGUAGUAGUUCAAAGUUGUGAGUUGGAUACUUAUAUUUGUCUCGAAAAUUUUGUAAUACUAUAGUUUUGGUGAUAUACACAUAUUGAGACUCAUAUUUGAUCUUGCAUGAUCACAUUUCCAGUUAGAAUUAUAAUGAGUUAAGGGGGAAUGUAGCCAUUUUUGGCGAUAAGUUUCCAAUGCAGCGUGUUUGGUUAGGCUUUAUUGAAAAGAAAAAGAGAGGCGAUAUUCACACCUUGCAUGCAUAUGAGAUAUUUUUCAGUGUGACCGUCACACGAGGUAAUACAUCACGUGUCGCUAUAUAAAUAACGAGAUAUAUGUGUUAAAAAGUUAAUAACUUAAAAAAUAAAAUUUCCCACCACUUACAUAAAAACACGUGGUAUAUCACUCGUGUUCUUGUUACAACAAAAAAUUUCUCUAUGUACAUGACUCGGAGAGAAAAUUAGUCAAUGAAAUUAUUAAUAGGACGUCUAUGGAUUGGCCUAUGGAUGAGAUGUAGAUAAAAAGGUAUAUAGGCCUUUUGUUGGCAUGUCUGUCUUCUUGAAAAAGUUGAUGGAAAAAUACCACCUGCAAUCUCAACUAUCAUUAGAUCAUGAUAAACAUGGAGAGAAAGAAUUCAUUUCCAGAAUUUUUAAUGUCGUUUUUGUUUGAAGGAAUUUAUUUACUGAUUUAGAUGCAGCGAAGUGAAUAUUUCAGAUACAAGAAGAAUCUCCUAAAAGGAGUUUCUGAAUUGGACUUUCCAACUUAUUUUCUAAUAUAAUUUUGCUUGACAACUACAAGUAAACAAGAGCUGUGGAAAAGGCACUGUCAAUGGUAACAAGAUUUCUGAUUAAACCUGCACAAACUAACUUAACUCAAUAUGCCUAGAUGCAUGCACAAGCUAAAUUUACAUAAAUGUUGCUUUAUCCAGGUAAGAAAAUGAGUUGUAUAUAUACAUAAUCUUUUUCUGUUAUAAGGAUAUGCUUUUGAGCAUUUAUUUUUCCAAAAUUAUUGACAAUUUAAGAAAGAAAGAAAAAAGGAGAUAAAAAAUACAGGUGUUGAGAAUUUUCAUUUUGUCAAAAUAUUUUUGUUAUUACUACAGUAAAACAUUCUCUAUAAAGCAAUAAUUUCCUGUAAUCAUUAAAAAAAAUCCAAUCACGACUUGAGAAAAAUUUCACAUAUAACCAAAUGAGUAAAUUGUAGCUAUGAUCCCUUAACUUUAACUCAAUUGAAGCAAUGGUCCCUCAACAAAAAAUUCAUUACCAUUGGUCCCUCAACUCAUCAAAAUGUGCAGCUAUGGUCCCUCAACUAAAAAUCCAUUACCAUUGGUCCCUCAACUUUA
rnacentral:lncRNA from 1 species